CUUGUUGGUAGGGUAACGGCCUACCAAGGCGACGAUGCGUAGCCGACCUGAGAGGGUGACCGGCCACACUGGGACUGAGACACGGCCCAGACUCCUACGGGAGGCAGCAGUAGGGAAUUUUCGGCAAUGGGAAACCCUGACCGAGCAACGCCGCGUGAAGGAAGAAGUAAUUCGUUAUGUAAACUUCUGUCAUAGAGGAAGAACGGUGGAUAUAGGGAAUGAUAUCCAAGUGACGGUACUCUAUAAGAAAGCCACGGCUAAUUACGUGCCAGCAGCCGCGGUAAUACGUAGGUGGCGAGCGUUAUCCGGAAUUAUUGGGCGUAAAGAGGGAGCAGGCGGCACUAAGGGUCUGUGGUGAAAGAUCGAAGCUUAACUUCGGUAAGCCAUGGAAACCGUAGAGCUAGAGUGUGUGAGAGGAUCGUGGAAUUCCAUGUGUAGCGGUGAAAUGCGUAGAUAUAUGGAGGAACACCAGUGGCGAAGGCGACGAUCUGGCGCAUAACUGACGCUCAGUCCCGAAAGCGUGGGGAGCAAAUAGGAUUAGAUACCCUAGUAGUCCACGCCGUAAACGAUGAGUACUAAGUGUUGGGGGUCAAACCUCAGUGCUGCAGUAAACGCAAUAAGUACUCCGCCUGAGUAGUACGUUCGCAAGAAUGAAACUCAAAGGAAUUGACGGGGGCCCGCACAAGCGGUGGAGCAUGUGGUUUAAUUCGAGGCAACGCGAAGAACCUUACCAGGUCUUGACAUCGAUCUAAAGGCUCCAGAGAUGGAGAGAUAGCUAUAGAGAAGACAGGUGGUGCAUGGUUGUCGUCAGCUCGUGUCGUGAGAUGUUGGGUUAAGUCCCGCAACGAGCGCAACCCCUGUUGCCAGUUGCCAGCAUUAAGUUGGGGACUCUGGCGAGACUGCCGGUGACAAGCCGGAGGAAGGCGGGGAUGACGUCAAAUCAUCAUGCCCCUUAUGACCUGGGCUACACACGUGCUACAAUGGACAGAGCAGAGGGAAGCGAAGCCGCGAGGUGGAGCGAAACCCAUAAAACUGUUCUCAGUUCGGACUGCAGUCUGCAACUCGACUGCACGAAGAUGGAAUCGCUAGUAAUCGCGAAUCAGCAUGUCGCGGUGAAUACGUUCUCGGGCCUUGUACACACCGCCCGUCACACCAUGAGAGUCGGUAACACCCGAAGCCGGUGGCCUAACCGCAAGGAAGGAGCUGUCUAAGGUGGGACUGAUGAUUGGGGUGAAGUCGUAACAAGGUA
rnacentral:rRNA from 1 species